UACGUAGGGAGUAAGCGUUGUCCGGAAUCAUUGGGCGUAAAGCGCGCGUAGGUGGCUUCGUAAGUCCGUUGUGAAAGUCAAAGGCUCAACCUUUGAAUGCCGAUGGAUACUGCGGAGCUAGAGUACGGAAGAGGCGAGUGGAAUUCCUGGUGUAGCGGUGGAAUGCGCAGAUAUCAGGAGGAACACCAAUAGCGAAAGGCAGCUCGCUAGGGACGUUACCGACACUAAGGCGCGAAAGCGUGGGGAGCGAA
rnacentral:rRNA from 1 species